rnacentral:sRNA from 1 species
GUCAGGUAUGGUGGUGCACACCUGUAAUCCCAGCUGCUCAAGAGACUAGGGUAGGAGGCUGGCAAGUUUGAAGUCAGCCUCAGCAACUUAGCAAGACCCUGUCUUAA